AAUUCAGAUUUCGUGUAUCAAGAUUUUGUAAACAAAAUGGCAUUCCCGUAUACAUGAGCAUACAAUCUGUGUUUAUACAUAUAUGAAGCAUAUCUAUUAAAAAGAAAAGUAGAAAAAAAAAGACUUGAAGCUUUAACUUUCUCUGUUCGAACUUGUUGUGUUGAGUCGGGAGGUGGACGGAGGCACGGCACAGCAGCGGCGCUGCUGUCGCCCGGUCACGGUGAGAGAGAGAGAGGUAGGGCUCAGACGCCGCUCUUCGCGGUGGGGUUUGGCGGCCGGAGAUAGGAGAGUGAGAGAGGCGGAGGCAGCCUUCUAUUUUCUGCCGGUUUCAGUAAGGUACGGUCGGCAGCCCGCCUCAUCUGCUGCUGCUGUCGGCGGUGGCGUGGUGGCCGUGACGCCGAUGGAUGGCGGCGGUUUCUCGCCGGAGAGAAAGUGGAGAGUUCAGCGCGGCGGUGGCGGAUAGCUACUGCUGUUUUCCGGCUGAAACAGAGGGAGUGGGGCGGCGAGGUCAGAGAAGGAGAGGACGGCGGCGGCCUUCAUGGUUGCUCGCCGGACUGAUUCAAAGAGAGAGAGG
rnacentral:lncRNA from 1 species